rnacentral:rRNA from 1 species
GAGGAUAUAUCUAUGGUCUUUGUUUUAGGUUUACCUCGAACAAAGAAGGGGAGGGAUAGCAUAUUUGUUGUCGUGGAUAGAUUCUCGAAAAUGGCACACUUUAUACCAUGUCAUAAAAGCGAUGAUGCUGUUAAUGUUGCUGAUUUGUUCUUUCGUGAAAUUAUUCGCUUGCAUGGUGUGCCAAAUACUAUUGUUUCAGAUCGUGAUACUAAAUUUCUUAGCCACUUUUGGAGAUGUUUAUGGGCUAAGUUGGGGACUAAACUGCUUUUUAGUACUACUUGUCACCCCCAAACUGAUGGACAAACUGAAGUAGUCAAUAGAACGUUGUCUACUAUGCUUAGGGCUGUUUUGAAGAAUAAUAAGAAAAUGUGGGAGGAAUGCUUGCCUCAUAUUGAAUUUGCUUAUAAUCGUUCAUUGCAUUCUACUACUAAGAUGUGCCCUUUUGAAGUUGUGUAUGGUUUCCUACCUCAUGCACCUAUUGAUUUGUUGCCUCUUCCAUCUUCGGAGAAGGUUAAUUUUGAUGCUAAACAACGUGCUGAAUUGAUUUUAAAAAUGCAUGAGUUAACUAAGGAAAACAUUAAGCGGAUGAAUGCUAAAUAUAAACUUGCUGGAGAUAAGGGUAGAAAACAUGUUGUGUUUGCACCUGGAGAUCUUGUUUGGUUACAUUUGCGUAAGGAUAGAUUUCCCGAUUUGCGCAAAUCAAAGCUAAUGCCACGUGCUGAUGGUCCCUUUAAGGUGUUAGAGAAAAUAAAU